rnacentral:rRNA from 1 species
UAAAGACGAGAAGACCCUUAGAGUUUUACUUAAUAUAAUGAUGAAUAUAUUAAUUACAAUGGUUUUGUUGGGGCAACAUAGGAGCAAAAUUUAAUCUCUUAAAUUAUAUAAACCGAUUAUUUUAAAUUUAGAUAAACUACCUUAGGGAUAACAGCAUUAUGUAAUAAAUAAGUUUGUGACCUCGAUGUUGGACUGGGAAACUUAAGAGCUAGCCGUUUUUAAGGAAAGUUCUGUUCGAACUACUAUUCCC